GCGGUCGUGGCGGAAUUGGCAGACGCGCUAGCUUCAGGCGCUAGUGGUAGAAAUACCGUGGAAGUUCGAGUCUUCUCGGCCGCA
rnacentral:tRNA from 2 species